GGAUGAGAUGAUGAUUAAUCUAAUAUAUCGAUAGCUGAUAUGAUAGCAAUUAUCAUGUAUUCGUACUGGCUGAUCAUUC
rnacentral:snoRNA from 1 species